ACGGAAGGUCCGGGCGUUAUCCGGAUUUAUUGGGUUUAAAGGGAGCGUAGGCUGGAGAUUAAGCGUGUUGUGAAAUGUAGACGCUCAACGUCUGCACUGCAGCGCGAACUGGUUUCCUUGAGUACGCACAAAGUGGGCGGAAUUCGUGGUGUAGCGGUGAAAUGCUUAGAUAUCACGAAGAACUCCGAUUGCGAAGGCAGCUCACUGGAGCGCAACUGACGCUGAAGCUCGAAAGUGCGGGUAUCGAACAG
rnacentral:rRNA from 1 species